UCCUGCAUGACAUCAUGAGCCCGGCCUCUGAAACUUUUGUUAUUUUUUCUCCACCUACUUCAAUUGUUCCCACAAACUUGGUGACAGACUCGGACAAGUUGCCAGAGAACUCCAGACAAUUUCCCACAGCUCAGAGCACACAAUUCUAUAAUUCACUAAUAAUCAUCAUCAGAGGUGGGUGACAACAGUCAUGGAGGAUUAAGGCAGAAGAAGCUGAACCAGCGAAAACUCCAAUCAAGAGUCAGUUGCAAGCACAAGAGGGCAGACCUGUGAAGAGCAUGGAUCUUGCUAACAACCGAGGACUCAACUUGCUACUCAAUUUCUUGCUUAUUGUCAUGGUGCUGGUGCUUGUGUUUAUUCUUGUGAAACUCAUGUGAAGCCCUGUACGGUUCCAUGUUCCUGAAAUGAUAACUUAGCACUUCAAAGUAUCUGAACUUAAUAUGCAACGCUGUACAGACAGAGAAAUGUCUAACAGGAUACAACCAACACACAUUCAAAUAUCUAUCCUCCAACAAAAACAGAUCUUAAAAGCUAAGUAUAAUGAUGUAUCUGCCAUUAGAAAGAGAGAGUGAAUAGUUCCUUGCUGGCUACGAAAGGAAACCGUAUCUAGGCUGACAUUAGUCUUGUCACUGAUACAGAACAUUUACUUAUAUUUAAAUAUCUACAAAACAGACCGCAGCUUUUCAGGAGUAUAAUCAUUGCAAAGAGGACUGCAGAAAUAGGGAAUCUCCACAGAUCAACUUCUAUGCAGAAUGUGAAACACAGGCAAGCCAGAAGGGCAGAAAACAUGCCUAAAGAAAUUGAUAGCCAGUUUCAAGUAACUUCUGAAAAGGGAAACAAAAAUAAGGUAGGUAUCCCCUAAAGGAGAAAUACCUACCAAGCAGUUACAGGAUUUGACAAGCAGAUAAAGUUCAAAUAUGAAAGUGUAGUGUAGAUUUUUAGGAGAUGCACCAUCCACUGCAUCAUCUGAGAAAUGAGAAGCCAUUGCUAUUGUGCAUCAGUACUCAAAGCAGUUAGAAAUUCACCAAAUGCUGAGCUUGACAUUUUGAACAGACAAUUAAUUACAAGAUAUUGUAAAACAGGCUACUAUCAAGCCUCCACACUCUAAUAACUAAAGUCUGCUCAAAAUAUCAUGCAAUAGUAGAUGGAAUGGCCUGGGUAGUUGCAAGAAGAGCUCACUGCUGUCAUUUACUAUGAGUGCAAUAAACAUUUGAAAUGGUCUUUCCAAACUCAACAGGCAUAUGGAGCAACAAACUAUAAAUCAACUACUUUUUAUGUUACUACAGCAGUGUAUUGUCAAGUCCUGUAACAACUGUCAAUGUAUGUUUCAAGUAGAAAGAAGUUGCACAGCUACUUCACUAUAAGCACUUUAUCACACAUUUUGAUUUAUAAUUUUGAGGGAUAUUCUGCUUUGUAGUAUGCCUGUACAUUCAUAU